rnacentral:rRNA from 1 species
AUUGGACGCUGGCGGCAGGCUUAACACAUGCAAGUCGAGCGGGGUGAUGGUGCUUGCACUAUCACUUAGCGGCGGACGGGUGAGUAAUGCUUAGGAAUCUGCCUAUUAGUGGGGGACAACAUCUCGAAAGGGAUGCUAAUACCGCAUACGUCCUACGGGAGAAAGCAGGGGAUCAUUUGUGACCUUGCGCUAAUAGAUGAGCCUAAGUCGGAUUAGCUAGUUGGUGGGGUAAAGGCCUACCAAGGCGACGAUCUGUAGCGGGGCUGACAGGAUGUACCGCCCAACUGGGACUGAGACGCGGCCCAGACUCCUACGGGAGGCAGCAGUAGGGAAUAUUUGACAAUGGGGAGAACCCUGAUCCAGCCAUGCCGCGUGUGUGAAGAAGGCCUUAUGGUUGUAAAGCACUUUAAGCGAGGAGGGGGCUCUUUUGGUUAAUACCCAAGAUGAGUGGACGUUACUCGCAGAAUAAGCACCGGCUAACUCUGUGCCAGCCGCCGCCGUAA